UCUGAGGGAGAAGAUCAGCAGUUUGCUCAGAGCCAUGACCCAGCCGAUCCCAGCCAGCACGGAGCCGCCGGCACUGCCAGGGCACACGGCAGCAGCCUUUGGAGUGGCAGACAUCACCGUCCUGGUUCUGUACUUUGUCUUCGUCCUCGCCGUCGGGAUAUGGUCAUCGAUACGAGCAAGCCGGGGGACCAUUGGAGGCUAUUUCCUAGCUGGACGAUCCAUGACUUGGUGGCCUAUUGGGGCAUCCCUGAUGUCAAGCAACGUGGGCAGUGGUUUAUUCAUCGGCCUGGCAGGCACUGGAGCAGCUGGGGGCCUUGCUGUUGGGGCCUUUGAGUGGAACGCCACCUGGGCACUUCUGGCCCUCGGCUGGAUCUUUGUGCCUGUUUACAUCGCAGCAGGAGUAGUCACCAUGCCCGAGUACCUGCAGAAGAGAUUUGGAGGGCAGAGGAUACAAAUCUACAUGUCCAUACUGUCCCUGAUUCUCUACAUAUUCACCAAGAUAUCCACAGACAUUUUUUCUGGAGCAUUGUUCAUCCAAAUCUCUUUGGGCUGGAACCUCUACUUGUCCACUGUGGUCUUGCUAGCAGUGACUGCUGUCUACACCAUAGCUGGUGGUUUAACAGCUGUGAUUUACACGGACGUGCUGCAGACCGUGAUCAUGGUGCUGGGAGCUUUGGUCCUCAUGUUCAUAGGAUUUGAGAAAGUUGGCUGGUAUGAAGGACUUCAGGAGAAAUACAGCACAGCAAUACCAAAGAUCACAGUCCCAAACACGACCUGUCACCUCCCACGUGCAGAUGCCUUUCAUUUGUUCAGGGAUCCCAUCACAGGAGACAUUCCUUGGCCAGGCCUUAUAUUUGGUCUCUCUGUGCUGGCUCUUUGGUGCUGGUGCACUGACCAGGUGAUAGUCCAGAGGUCUCUCUCUGCCAAGAACCUUUCCCAUGCCAAAGGUGGAUCGGUGUUGGGAGGAUAUCUGAAAAUCUUCCCUAUGUUCUUCCUUGUCAUGCCAGGAAUGAUCAGCAGAGCUCUUUACCCAGAUGAAGUGGGCUGCGUGGACCCAGACAUCUGUAAAAGGGUUUGUGGAGCUGCAGUGGGUUGUUCCAACAUUGCCUACCCCAAACUGGUGAUUGAACUCAUGCCUGAUGGGCUCCGAGGUUUGAUGAUUGCAGUGAUGAUGGCAGCCUUGAUGAGUUCCCUCACCUCCAUUUUCAACAGCAGCAGCACUCUCUUCGUUAUAGACAUCUGGCAGCGGAUCCGCAGACAGGCUUCAGAGCAGGAGCUGAUGAUUGUGGGCAGAGUGUUUAUCCUCAUUCUUGUGGUCAUCAGUAUUCUCUGGAUCCCAAUCAUUCAAUCAGCCAACAGUGGAAAGCUCUUUGACUACAUUCAGUCCAUAACCAGCUAUCUGGCCCCACCCAUCACAGCUCUCUUCAUCCUGGCAAUCUUCUGCAAGAGGAUUAAUGAGCCUGGUGCUUUCUGGGGCCUCAUGGUUGGGCUGGCUGUUGGUCUGGUUCGGAUGAUCAUCGAGUUUAUUUAUAGCACACCGUCCUGUGGUGAGGAGGACAGAAGACCAGCUGUGCUAAAGGACUUGCACUACCUCUACUUUGCCCUCAUCCUCUGUGUCCUCUCUGCGAUUGUCAUCGUCCUUAUUAGUGUCUGCACCCCACCGAUCCCUGAAGAAAAGCUCUCAUGCCUGACCUGGUGGACCAGACACAGAAAAGCACCUGCCAUUGACCUGAAAAACUGCAAGAGUGAGGCAGCACAGAUCAAUUCAGCCAAUGGAGAGAGCGACUUGGUCGACAGUGCAGAGUCAGGCAACAAGGAGGAGACAGCAGCCAAGCCUCCCUGCUGGAAAAUGUUGUAUUUGUGGUUCUGUGGUCUGUCCACCAGCCCCACGCCCACCCUGUCCCAGGAGGAGAGAGCUGCCCUGGAGCAGAGACUCACCAGCAUUGAGGAAAAGCCCCUGUGGAAGACUGUUUGCAAUGCCAAUGCUGUUCUCCUGCUGGCCAUUAAUGUCUUCCUGUGGGCAUAUUUUGGCUGAGGUGGGGUCAGGAAACAUGUGGCUUUGGUUUCUCUCACCUCCCUGUCUAAGCUGGAAGCAUCAGAUGACAGAGUCCCUGGUGAUGGUCCCUGGAGGCACCCACUGGCACUCUUUGCCUUCCCUGGAGGCACUGCUUGGUGGGAAUGACUGCGGGGCUCAGUUUUCCCAUAGGGUGAGACAAAGACUCAACAUCAGUCACGUCUGGGAUGUGGGCCAAGUCUGGAGGUCUGGGGUCAAGUUGAAAGGUGCAAAGUCAAGCCCAGCAAGGAGCAAAGGCUUUGGAAAGCCCAGCUAUGGCUGGGUUCUCUCUCAGGGCUGACUUUGCACCGAUGCAUUUAGGGGAAGGACUUCUGGUUUACCCUGGUGUGCAGAAGGAGACUUAAACACACUCUGCAGCUUUUUUAUAUGGGUAAAAUUCAAAUAGGGUCAGUGGGGACCACUGGAUUAGCUCAGCAGUGUCAACCUUGGCUCCCCAGCCACCCCAGGAUCUGUGUUGGACCCCUUCCACCCCACCCCUCCUGCCUUGCUGGCAUCAGCAGUGGGAACAGGGAGCUUCUUCCUGCUUCCCGAGCCCCCUAUCCUCCCCACUCUGCUGUGUGACAGUGGGUCUCACAACAGCCCCAGCCUGUUUGCUCAUCAGGCUGAUGCUGCCCCUUGACAGCAUUACCAGCAAUAAAGGUGCCUUAGUAACCAAGCCAAUCCUGACUUUGGGUUAUUGUGGUGAUCUGUCCUGCACUGACACACAAAGGGCUCCCUGGGACCGCGGUGACCCGGCUGUCUCAGGGAAAAGAAAUAUCCUUCCCUGGGACCUGAUCCAGGGCCUCGCUUUCUUGAGCAAGUCCAGGCUUCUGUGACCCAUCCUGGUGCCACACGUGGCAUGUGGCACAGCCAUAAUCUUUUAAACCAUGGAGAGACAGCAAUAACCCCUGUUAAUAUCUGUGCCUGGUAGUUAGGGUGCUCACCUGGAGAAGGCUAAAAAUGCCCACAGGCAUGUGAUCCUGCAAUCCAGCAUCCGAGGGACACAUCCAGGUCACCAGGCAUGGGCUGUGCAGGGAGGAGAAAAUGAGUCAUGAUUCAUCAAGGAGAGAAGAAAGAAGGCUCUGUUUCCACCUGGCUCAGGAAGCCCAGGUCAUGGUUCCACGGCUUGUCCUCAGUUUGGAUGGAGGAGACUGAACUGGCCAUGCAGGAUGAGGUCUGUGCUGGCUUUAUGCAGAUGAAGUUUCCUUUAAAAUGCUGAUGUCUAUGUCAGUUAAAGUAAUGUUGCCUGAGAGCUGUGACUGCAUCUCUGAGCUUGGCCCUGAGAAGGAAUGGAGACAUCCGCACUGCCAGAUGCAGCCAGCUGUGCACCCCACAGGAGGAACACAUUUCAUUGAGCCGGGGCUUCGGCGAUGGCGGGCUCAUCCGACGGCGGAUGCGGCGUCGGCAUUGGGAUCCCAGUGAGGCUUUCCUGGGGAGCAGGCUGUCAUCGCCCCGGGAGCACCGAGCAGCUCC